rfam:Peniophora sp. CONT PENSPscaffold_110_Cont177, whole genome shotgun sequence.
GACUCUUUAGCUCAGUGGUAGAGCAUGGGAUUGCAGCAAUUGCAGUCGCUGCAGGCCCACUGGAGCUGCAGCGAAUGCAAUUGAUUACCCAUCCCAGGGCCGCGUGUUCGAACCACGCAAGGGUCU